GAUGAAGAACGCAGCGAAAUGCGAUACGUAAUGUGAAUUGCAGAAUUCAGUGAAUCAUCGAAUCUUUGAACGCACAUUGCACUCUCUGGUAUUCCGGAGAGUAUGCUUGUUUGAGUAUCUGUAAACAUCUCAAAUCUCUCUUCGCUUGCGUCGAGAGAAUUGGAUUUGAGCGAUCCCGACUCCUUCGUCAGAAAGAGGAGGGUCGCUUGAAAUGCAGGUGCAGCUGGACAUUCUUCUGAGCUAAAAGCAUAUCUAUUUAGUCCCGUCAAACGGAUUAUUACUUUUGCUUCAGCUAAUAUAAAGGUCGAAUGAACUACCAACGCUGAUUGCAGGAGAACUCGUUUGUAACAGAACUUGUAAACUCGAUCUCAAAUCAAGUAAGACUACCCGCUGAACUUAAGCAUAUCAAUAAGCGGAGGA
rnacentral:misc_RNA from 1 species